rnacentral:lncRNA from 1 species
AUGUUUUUUUACACACUAAAAUAUAUUAAUUGUCUUUCAGACACUGGCUUGCCUGGUACACCUCCAUAUGCUAGUAGAAAUAUUAAAACAGAAAGUCCAGGUUCAAGUAUAUCAACCAAAUGGAAAAGUUUUUCAUUUUCACUACUGUGUGAAGUGACCAUUGAAGAAAAUUUCAAGCAAAGACAACUAAGCAGCAAGAGACAGCAAAACAGCAUUAAGCCACUAGUCUUACUGUCCAUCUGCAAGGCAACUAGAAGGUAAGUAUCAAUAUAAGUAAGUUUCAUUAUCCAAAAUAUUGAACUAAGUAAGAACAAGUCAUAUAGUAUAGAACAAAGUUAGGUACCUAACGACAUUUUUUUCACUAUGUAAUCCACUGUUUUGAGACAUAAAAUUUCCUAGUACCAGUCAGUGACUCAUACUUUUGAAAGGAACCCAUUUUUCAUGAUGAGGUUAAAAGGUAGAUUGAGGUGCUGAACUUCAGGUUACCAGUUGCAUUGCCAGGUGAUUUAUUCUAAGCCAGAGCACAGACAGAGCCAAAUGAGACCGUAGAGAAAUAGCUGGGUUACAACCACAGUGCUGCUGUCAUUGCACCAAAUUUUCUCUCCUAGUCUCAGGCAUAUAGAAUUGUAUCUACUUGCAUGUUAAAAUUCUGAUGAGGGAAAAUGAAUUUGUAUUUGCAAGUCAAAUAUGAGUGAAUAUUUCAGAGGCCAUAUCUGUGACUAAAGUGCUUUAUUAACUUUUUUUGCAAUUUAUACAUGCAAUGAGAAAGUCACCUUCAGGAAGACAACUUGUGAUGUGCUUAAAAUCAUGCUGACUUGAAAGCUAUGAAAAAAAAAAUAUCGCUUUCUUUUUCUCACUUUCUUCCAUCACAUUCUUAUUUGUUCGUUGUUGUUUUUUCUUAAACUGAUUUUUUUCAAUUUAAGAGAGUCACACAUCUGUUGGAAAAAGCUAUUCAUUAACAAGAAAUCCAUGGUGAACAUGGUCAGAGAGACAUACUGAAAGCUUUAUAAGAAGUCUACCAUCUACACAAAACAAACAUUUAAAUUCAAUAUAGCUUAACAAAUAAUGAGAUUACUGAUUUGAUUCUUGUUGUUUUGUUUCCCCUCCUCCCACACAAUGCAAAGACGAUUUGAUGCUUUUGUCAGCAUUACAUAUUCAAUUUUACCUUCUGAUAAUGCUCUGUGGUGACAACCUAAGCAUAUUUCCUGAGAGCUUUGACAGAAUCCCUUUCAGGGCAUACCAUCAGUUUUAGCUACAUUCU